GUGCUUGUGUGGGCAGCACAUAUACUAAAAUUGGAACAAUGCAGAGAUUAGCAUGGCCCCUGAACAAGGACAACAUGCAAAUUCGUGAAGUGUUCCACCUUAAA